GGGGUGUGUGGUAAAAGGCUGUGUGUGUGGGCAUGUGGGGUGUGUGGUAAAAGGCUGUGUGUGUGGGCAUGUGGGGUGUGUGGUAGAAGGCUAUGUGUGUGUGGGGUGUGUGGUAAAGGCUGUGUGUGUGGGCAUGUGGGGUGUGUGGUAAAGGCUGUGUGUGUGGGCAUGUGGGGUGUGUGGUAGAAGGCUAUGUGGGGUGUGUGGUAGAAGGCUAUGUGUGUGGGGGGUGUGUGGUAGAAGGCUGUGUAAGGCUAUGUGGGGUGUGUGGUAGAAGGCUAUGUGUGUGGGGGUGUGUGGUAAAAGGCUGUGUGUGUGGGCAUGUGGGGUGUGUGGUAGAAGGCUAUGUGUGUGUGGGGUGUGUGGUAGAAGGCUAUGUGUGUGUGGGGUGUGUGGUAGAAGGCUAUGUGUGUGGGGGGUGUGUGGUAGUAGGCUAAGGCUGUGUGUGGGGUGUGUGGUAGAAGGCUGUGUAUGUGGGGUGUGUGGUAGAAGGCUGUGUGUGUGUGGAGGAACAAAGGAACAUGGAGGAACAAAGUGUUACACAACACACAUUUGUCUGUUCUUGCUCAUUUGGCUAGCUAAGAUACUAACCUGCCAAUACCUGAACACACUUUCUAUGUAUUCAGCAUCCAUUUACUGAUCUGAUUAAAACACAAUGUCUAUGUAUUCAUCAUCAUUAAAACAUCUUAUUAAAACACACAGUCCUUUCAGUGCUCCUAUGUAUGACUAACAGUAGGCUUAACAGUCAUUCCAUUGAUUUAAUCAUACACUCCUCCUCAUGGGGACAUGGGAAAUGACCCCACGAGAGGGAAUGUUCCUGGUUUUACUAUCCUUUGGGGACUUUUGGGUAUUUCCGGUACCCAUGAGGAUACUGUUAAAGGAGGGGUGGGGAAGCUUUUCACUGGGACACAGAGAGGAGUUUCUUCCAGUAACACACUGAGCCCAGUGUCAGCCAGGAGGGGUGCGGGUGGUUAAGUGUGAGUAAUGCAUUAUCAGGAGGAAAAAGGUGUGUGUGUGUGUUAGCGAUGAUAAUGCAUUACACGCACACACUUAGAGAGAGACCUCUGUAACAUUCACUGUUUUGCUAGGAGUCCCCUCAUCUUUCUGGCCCCAGAAAAGGGAUGUUCUGUUUUCCCUCUGUGAAGAUUCAGAGAUAAAGACAGUCCACAACACAUGGAGAUGUAUGAUGAUAAAGCAGUUCUGGACACAGUGGGAUGAAUAUGCCGUCCAGGCUGGGCUGAGUAGUAGAAUCAUUCAGAACAAUUUGAAGCAAAUCGAAGUCAAGUUGAUAAUUAAUCAAUGUUUUUAUCAUCAUCGUGACCUUAUAGCAGUACAACAGAACAGUCACAACAGUAUGAGCUGUUGCAUUCUGUAGUUAGGGAUAGGAGUUUUCCUGACCUCAUAACUUGACCAGGAAAAACUCUUGGCCCUGGUCAUAGUCAGUAGGAAUAGUAUUAGCAGGAGCAGGUGUUAACACGAUGCUGUUGUUUAACUUAAUGAACUUUUAUGAUGUCGUAGUUUCACAGCAGACGUUUAACUACAGUAGUGUUGCUUUAUGUCGUUGACGUAAUGGAAUUUCUCUCCAACCUCACGCAUGUGUGAGUCGGACCGCCUCUGCUCCCUAUGCAGACUGUGUGUUCGUGGGCAUAACGUUUCAUUCCUCCAAGUGAACCCAUAGCACCGCCAUUUCAUUUCAAAAUUUGUGUCCGUAGAUUAGAAACCCAUUUCUUUUUUAAUUGCGUUAACACGAUCCAGAGAGGCAUAACAAAUGUCCAGCGAUGUAGAUCACCAUGGCAACAGCUACCCAAACCCAUACUAACUAAUGCUGUAGUAGUGAUGUCAGUGAGAUGGUGGAUCUGUCCCAAAUGGCACCCUAUUCCCUAUGUAGUGCACUGCGUUUGACUAGUGCCCAUAGGGCUCUGAUUAAAAGUAGUGUAGUAUGUAGGAAAUGGAGUGUUAUUUGGGACUUAGGCAUGGUGUGAGUGACUGUUACCAUGACAAUAACAAGACAUGCUGCAUCCAAUCAACGCCCUGCCUGAGGUGUUGCCAAAGCAACACAGCGCUGGUGAUUGAACCCAGACGCACAGGGGAAUUCCAGAACUUCCCAGAAGUUCUUAUGGAAUGGGGAGGGAAG
rnacentral:lncRNA from 1 species